CCUGUAGUCCACAAUCAUCUCCUUUGUCUUGAUCACAUUGAGGGAGAGGCUGUUGUCCUUGUUGUCUCUGACCUCGUCCCUAUAGGCUGUCAUUGUUGUCGGUGAUCAGGCCUACCACUGUUUUGUCAUCGGCAAACUUAAUGAUGGUGUUAGAGUCGUGCCUGGCCGUGCAGUCAUGAGUGAACAGGGAGUACAGGAGGGGACAGAGCACCCCCAGGAAGUCCAGGAUCCAGUUGCAGAGGGAGGUGUUUAGUCCCAGGGUCCUUAGCCUAGUGAUGAGCUUUUAGGGCACUAUGGUGUUGAACACUGAGCUGUGGUCAAUGAAUAGCAUUUUAACAUAGGUGUUCCUUUUGUUCACGUUGAAAGGGCAGUGUGUUUAUAGGCCCGUUCCCCAUUUCCAAGAUCAUUAGACCCUCUGCUGUUCAUCUUCUGUUGCCCCAUACCCUUCGUAUAUUCCCACCUUUCAUGUGUCCAGAGUCAAACCCAUGUCUCACAGCCCUUUGUCUCCCGUUUCCAGAUUUUUAAGCCUUAACCUGUUAUGGCUAGGGGGCAGUAUUUUCACGGCUGGAUAAAAAACGUACCCGAUUGAAUCUGAUUAUUAGUCCUGCCCAGAAACUAGAAUAUGCAUAUAAUUAUUAGCUUUGGAUAGAAAACACUCCAAAGUUUCUAAAACUGUUUGAAUGGUGUCUGUGAGUAUAACAGAACUCAUUUGGCAGGCCAAAACGUGAGAAGAUUCUGUACAGGAAGUACCCUGUCUGACAAUUUCUUGAACUUCUUUGCCAUCUCUAUCUAUUACAAAGGAUCUCUGCUCUAACGUGACACUUCCUACGUCUUCCAUAGGCUCUCAGAGCCCGGGAAAAACCUGAAUGUCGUCAUACCAGCCCCAGGCUGAAACACAUUAUCGCCUUUUUCAAGUGGCCGAUCAAGGGACUGUGGGCUUAGGCACGUGCACUGGCCGCCCCCGUCUUUGUGUUUUUUCCUCUGUUUGCCGAAAAGGAGAUUCCCGGUCGGAAUAUUAUCGCUUUUUUACGAGAUAAAUUGCAUAAAAAUUGAUUUUAAACAGCGGUU
rnacentral:lncRNA from 1 species